rnacentral:rRNA from 1 species
GACCAGGCGCCCAAGGAUAGGUCUGCGGCCGAUUAGGUUGUUGUUGAUGUAAUGGAUCAACAAGCCUGCAAUCGGUACGGGUUGUGAGAGCAAGAGCCCGGAGAUGGGUUCUGAGAAAAGAACCCAGGUCCUACGGGACGCAUCAGGCGCGAAAACUUUACAAUGUGCGAAAGCACGAUAAGGGAACUCUGAGUGCCUCCUAUGGAGGCUGUUCAGGUGUCUAAAAAGCACUUGAAGUAAGGGCUGGGUAAGACCGGUGCCAGCCGCCGCGGUAACACCGGCAGCCCAAGUGGUAGCCACGAUUAUUGGGUCUAAAGCGUCCGUAGCCGGCCAAGUAAGUUCUUUGGGAAAUUUAACCGCUCAACGGUUAAGCUUUCAGGGAAUACUGCUUGGCUUGGGACCGGGAGAGGUCAGAGGUACUUCAAGGGUAGGGGUGAAAUCCGUUAAUCCUUGAGGGACCACCAGUAGCGAAGGCGUCUGACCAGACCGGGUCCGACGGUGAGGGACGAAGGCUAGGGUCGCGAACCGGAUUAGAUACCCGGGUAGUCCUAGCUGUAAACGAUGCGGGCCAGGUGUUGGCAUUACUGUGAGUGAUGUCAGUGCCGAAGGGAAGCCGUUAAGCCCGCCAUCUGGGGAGUACGGUCGCAAGGCUGAAACUUAAAGGAAUUGGCGGGGGAGCAC